GCUCUCUUGGUCCAUGUGACUGUGGGUUCCUGCUCUUUGGGUGGGAAUGUGCGUUGUGCUUGUCAAGUGCCGUACGCCUGGAGAGUGAGGGGUCUGCUUGUCAGUGCACUUUCUUAUGGUGUUCACCACGACCGGCGCUGCUGUCUGUCUGCUUUGGUCAAACCGUUUAGGCUUGGUCUUUUGGUCAGGCUUGAUCGGGAUGGCAGGUAGCUCUCUGGCUCUUGUUGGUUUUGGCUGGCAUGGGUCAUUGAGUGUAAUCAGCUGACUAUGGUAGAUCAGUGCAGUGCGUCGGGGCUGGCGGCUUUGGUGUGUGCGUAUGUGCUAUGGCUUUCUGGCAAGGCUGGGUCUGGCUGGCAAAUUGCUUUUGCAGGUUGUCAGUGGCCUGGUCUUGUUUGGUUGGCGGUAACAUGUGUGACACUUGCUUUGGCCAAUAGUCCGUGGUGUAGUGGUAGACGAUCCACCUGACCCGUCUUGAAACACGGACCAAGGAGUUUAACAUGUGCGCGAGUCAUUGGGCGUUACGAAACCCAGAGGCGAAGUGAAGGUAAAGGUUCGGCUUGUCCGGACUGAGGUGAGAUCCUGCUGUUUCCUUUGUCUUGGGCUACCAAACUUUUGAGCAGUAGGCGCAUCACCGGCCCGCCCCAUGAUGUAGUCGUAUAACUUGUUUAUGCGCACCGUCGGGGCGGAGCUAGAGCGCACACGUUGAGACCCGAAA
rnacentral:rRNA from 1 species